rnacentral:rRNA from 1 species
ACGCACGCUGGCGGCGUGCUUCACCCCUGCAAGUCGCACGGUGAACCUCUUCGGAGGGGAUCAGUGGCGAACGGGUGAGUAACACGUGGGCAACCUGCCCCCGGCUCUGGGAUAACUCCAAGAAAUUGGGGCUAAUACCGGAUGUUCACCGCUUCCCGCAUGGGUGGUGGUGCAAAGGGUUUCCGGCUGGGGAUGGGCCCGCGGCCUAUCAGCUUGUUGGUGGGGUAGUGGCCUACCAAGGCGACGACGGGUAGCCGGCCUGAGAGGGUGACCGGCCACACUGGGACUGAGACACGGCCCAGACUCCUACGGGAGGCAGCAGUGGGGAAUAUUGCGCAAUGGGCGGAAGCCUGACGCAGCGACGCCGCGUGGGGGAUGACGGCCUUCGGGUUGUAAACCUCUUUCAGCAGGGACGAAGCGCAAGUGACGGUACCUGCAGAAGAAGCACCGGCCAACUACGUG